rnacentral:rRNA from 1 species
AAAUGAAUAGACGGGGACUCACACAAGCGGUGGAUCACGUGGCUUAAUUCGACGAUAAGCGAGGAACCUUACCAAGGCUUGAAACUCUAAUGAAAUCCUUCCGAAAGGAAGGCCCUCCGAAAGGACAUUAGAGCAGGUGCUGCAUGGUUGUCGUCAGCAGGUGGCUUGAGUUGCUCCCUUAAAUGGGGAAACCUGCGCAACCCUUACCCUAUGUUUUAAAUGUCAUGGGGGACUGCCUAGGACAACUAGGAGGAAGGUGAGGAUGACGCCAAAUCAGCAUGGCCCUUUGAUGCCUUGGGCUGCACACGUGAUACAAUGGAAAUGACAAAGGGGUGCUAAGAGGUAACUUGGAGCAAAUCCCAUCAAACAUUUCCUCAAUUCGGAUUGAGGUCUGCAACCCGACCUCAUGAAGUCGGAAUCGCUAGUAACCGUAGAUCAGCCAUGCUACGGUGAAUAUGUCCCUGGGUCUUGUACACACCGCCCGU